CCCCAAGUCUGUAAAAAGUAACGUUUUCUGUAAAGGGGGGGUACCUGUAAAGAAAGUCAUUUUAAAUGGUGAACAAUUGUAUCUUUAAUCCAAAAAUUGAACUUAAGCAGCAGUAGUAUAUAGUAAUCGACUAACGUAAAGGUUGUCCGAUUUUAUUUCAAUAUGUGUCAGUAUAGGUUAAAAGGAAGUAAAUAAAGAUGAUUGGCGCCACCUAGAUUUCACAUCCAAGAUAAUACGUAGAAGUAAAUUUAUUUUCUGCUGCCUUGGUAAUUAGAAAUUAAAAUUGAAAUAGUAAGAAAUGGGUUUUGGCCAUUGGUGUAGAAAUAGUGAGAAAUUUAGAGAAAACUCUCUAAGACAAGCAACAUAUUCUGUGCCAAAUUAAGCAAGGGGUGCCAUUUUUCUAUCAAAAAAGCUGCGACACCAUAUGUGUUUGACCACUGCAAUUACACUCAAGGGUGUUAAUAAUUCAGAAUUCGAAAUUUUUUUCAAUGGAUCUUUGAUAGUGAAAAGGCAGGACCAAAUAAGGCUACCAUUGUCGCCUAUGUAAAUAAUUACUUCCUUGUAACCUAAACAGAUGUCUUGGUCAACAUCUGUGUUCAUAGAAUUACCGGUCAUUUCAGGUGAUGACCCUGUACUAACUCUGGGAUAAUAACAUGAAAAUCAC
rnacentral:lncRNA from 1 species